CCCAAAAUUUUUUACCGCCGCAUUCCCCCUUUACCUUCUCGAUCCCUAAGCAUUUCCAUCCCUCUUUCCUCACAAUCUCUCACUCACUGGAGCAAUGCAGGAGCAGCAGCAGUCGGGAAGAGCAAUCGCAGGGCGACAGCAAGGGUCUAGAUCAUGGGAGCGUGUGCAACAGAUCCGACCACGGAGGAUGACGUCGGGGAACAAGGCAGCGACCUAUGAUCGACGCUAGACGAGACUCGCCAGAGAUCGACCAUGGCAUCUUUCACCCUGCUCCACUCCUCCUCGCCUCCUUUUUCUUUCCUCCGACGGUAGUCAGUCACUUACGGUUCUGUUACUUUCCACUACUGUCUCUUCGUGUUUUCAUUCCGCCAUCGUCUUCCUCUUCAUCGAUCAAUCAUGGCAUCUUCCACUGUCAUCGGAUUCAUGGGGCUCGACGAGCUCGGCUUAGAGAUAGCUUCCUUGCUUGUCAAGUCCGGGUUUCGCCUCCAAGCAUUCGAGAUGGUCGAGUUGUCUCUGAUGAGCAGGUUCGUGGAGUUGGGCGGAGUGAAGUGCGCAAGCGCUAUGGAAGCUGCAAUGGUGAAGCGACUUGUGAAAAAUAUCAACAUGCAUUGCUGUUGAAGCAAGGAAAAACCUGGCCAUCCAAAAAUGUUUGUUAAUUUGGGAGAGAGCACUUCCUCAAUAUAAUCAGCACAAUCCCACUAUUCCAUGUGAGAUUAUGGGUGUGGUGUACCUUAACUUCUAUAGUUUCCCUUAUGCUCAUCAAUGACUUAGAGUUUGGCUAACUGAGUUGGAGCAAUUCCAUUCAAAAUGGCUACUCACUUGAGAUUGAAAUGUAAGCACUAAGGGGAUUGCUGCACUCUUCCACGUGGAACAAUGGGCGAGGAGCAUCAAUCCCCUCAUGCUCAUUUAAAGUCGUAGAGAUCGAGCGGAUCGAAUAAAUACUUGCAAUGCCGAAUGGAAAGUGUGUAUUUAAAUAGAUAUAUAACAAGUAGCUUUAUUGAAGAAACUAUAGUGCUAAAGAGGGACAUUAUUGCAGUCAUUCAAAGGUUCAAUAUCCAAGUUAGCAAUUUGACUCAAAAUGUCCUUGGAAAGUCUAGUUCAACUGUUUAUGCCAUUGCAUUGUUAGCCUCUGGACAGAGCUCUACAAUAACUGGUACAUACGCUGGGCCAUCAUGCAGGAUUUUCUAAACAUGAAGAUGAAAAAUGGCUGAGGAAUCUCAUGACUCAAUCAAUCGCAAUCACUCCAAGUCUCAUCGUGUCCAUCAUCGAUGGUUCCUCAGGAGCCGGACGGCUCAUCAUAAUCUCAUCGAUGGUACUAUCAUUUGAGUUGCCAUUUGCACUCUUACCUCUUCUCAAAUUCAGCAGCAGUCAAACAAAAAUGGGACCUAAUAAAAUCUCAAUAU